CCUACGGGAGGCAGCAGUGGGGAAUAUUGGGCAAUGGAGGAAACUCUGACCCAGCAACGCCGCGUGAAUGAUGAAGGUCUUCGGAUUGUAAAGUUCUUUUCUAAGGGAAGAAGAAAGUGACGGUACCUUAGGACUAAGCCUCGGCUCACUAAGUGCCAGCAGCCGCGGUAAUACGUAGGAGGCGGACGUUAUCCGGAAUGACUGGGCGUAAAGGGUGUGUAGGUGGGUCGGCAAGUGAGGAGCGUAACUCCAAGGCUCAACCUUGGAACUACUACUAAAACUGUUGGUCUUGAGUGCAGGAGGGGCAACCGGAAUGCGUAGUGUAGCGGUGGAAUGCAUAGAUAUUAGGAGGAACACCAGUGGCGAAGGCGGGUUGCUAGACUGUAACUGACACUGAGGCACGAAAGCGUGGGGAGCAAACAGGAUUAGAUACCCCUGUAGUC
rnacentral:rRNA from 1 species